UCCUCGAUAGCUCAGUCGGUAGAGCAAUCGGCUGUUAACCGAUCGGUCGUAGGUUCGAGUCCUACUCGAGGAU
rnacentral:tRNA from 1 species